GACGAACGCUGGCGGCGUGCUUAACACAUGCAAGUCGAACGGAAAGGCCCUGCUUUUGUGGGGUGCUCGAGUUGCGAACGGGUGAGUAACACGUGAGUAACGUGCCCUUGACUUUGGGAUAACUUCAGGAAACUGGGGCUAAUACCGGAUAGGAGCUCCUGCUGCAUGGUGGGGGUUGGAAAGUUUCGGCGGUUGGGGAUGGACUCGCGGCUUAUCAGCUUGUUGGUGGGGUAGUGGCUUACCAAGGCUUUGACGGGUAGCCGGCCUGAGAGGGUGACCGGACACAUUGGGCCUGAGCUACGGCCCAGACUCCUACGGGAGGCAGCAGUGGGGAAUAUUGCACAAUGGGCGGAAGCCUGAUGCAGCAACGCCGCGUGCGGGAUGACGGCCUUCGGGUUGUAAACCGCUUUCGCCUGUGACGAAGCGUGAGUGACGGUAAUGGGUAAAGAAGCACCGGCUAACUACGUG
rnacentral:rRNA from 1 species